UGAGGAAUAUUGGUCAAUGGGGGCAACCCUGAACCAGCCAUGCCGCGUGAAGGAUGACUGCCCUAUGGGUUGUAAACUUCUUUUUUCAGGGACGAAACUGCGAUACGUGUAUUGUACUGACGGUACCUGAUGAAUAAGCAACGGCUAACUCCGUGCCAGCAGCCGCGGUAAUACGGAGGUUGCAAGCGUUAUCCGGAUUUAUUGGGUUUAAAGGGUGCGUAGGCGGGAUCAUAAGUCAGUGGUGAAAACCUGCAGCUUAACUGUAGAACUGCCAUUGAUACUGUGAUUCUUGAGUAUAGUUGAGGUGGGCGGAAUGUGUAAUGUAGCGGUGAAAUGCUUAGAUAUUACACAGAACACCAAUUGCGUAGGCAGCUCACUAAACUAAAACUGACGCUGAGGCACGAAAGCGUGGGGAGCAAACAGG
rnacentral:rRNA from 1 species